rnacentral:rRNA from 1 species
CCUACGGGAGGCAGCAGUAGGGAAUAUUGCUCAAUGGGGGAAACCCUGAAGCAGCAACGCCGCGUGGAGGAUGAAGGUUUUCGGAUUUUAAACUCCUUUUGUUAGAGAAGAUAAUGACGGUAUCUAACGAAUAAGCACCGGCUAACUCCGUGCCAGCAGCCGCGGUAAUACGGAGGGUGCAAGCGUUACUCGGAAUCACUGGGCGUAAAGAGCGCGUAGGCGGGAUAGCAAGUCAGAUGUGAAAUCCUAUGGCUUAACCAUAGAACUGCAUUUGAAACUGUUAUUCUAGAGUAUGGGAGAGGUAGGUGGAAUUCUUGGUGGAGGGGUAAAAUCCGUAGAGAUCAAGAGGAAUACUCAUUGCGAAGGCGACCUGCUAGAACAUAACUGACGCUGAUGCGCGAAAGCGUGGGGAGCAAACAGGAUUAGAUACCCCUGUAGUC